UACAGAGGGUGCGAGCGUUGUCCGGAAUCACUGGGCGUAAAGGGCGCGUAGGUGGCGCGACAAGUCAGUGGUGAAAGUUCGACGCUCAACGUCGAAUCGGCCACUGAUACUGUUGGGCUUGAGCACUGUAGAGGCUAAUGGAAUUCCGGGUGUAGCGGUGGAAUGCGUAGAGAUCCGGAAGAACACCGGUGGCGAAGGCGGUUAGCUGGGCAGUUGCUGACACUGAGGCGCGAAAGCCAGGGGAGCAAACGGG
rnacentral:rRNA from 1 species